CGAAGUAUACUGUUGCAGCUGGAGUUUGAUUGUUUGGUUACCAACAGUGUGACUGCAUGCGUCAUGUAAAGUCAACCUACAUGAAUCAACAACUUUUGAGGCUUGCAGUUACCACAAGUCUUGAGUCCGGUGUAAUUCAAACACUAAGCGCACUCCUGUAUCUUCUAAUUAGCUGUGAGCGAACAAUGUACCUGUUUACCUGUGAGGGAAAGCUGUUAGAGUUGGCGUCAGCUGCGGCCCAGUCCAACAACUAGGAUGCAAGGAUGUAGUGGAGGAUUUCGUGACAAAGAAUCACGAGGACGAUAAAGAAGAGAGGCGUCUGAACGAGCUUCACUUUUGGCAGGAGAAGGAGAGGGCAUCUGGACAUCUGAGGGGAAGUCCAUUAUUACCACAACAACAGCCACCCCUACUGGUGGGUAAUAGAACAGCAGAUCUACAGUCACCUGAUGUCAACUCAGCUGAACAUCUAUGGGACACCUUUCAGCAAGCUAUCAACCAUGAAAACCCACUGAGGUCUCCUCCAUCCCUUCACUCCUCAUUCCACAUCACUGCAUCCCUCCUCUGAACCUCUCAGGGAAGUUGCACUGCUCCCCUACGCUGAUCUGGGAGGUGUUGACAAGGUAGCCAAUGGGAACGGUCCACCCAACCGUGGUGCGCAUGCCGGGGUGACAGGUGCUGCGUUCAUGCAUCUCCAGCAGGGACAAAUCCGAGGAGGAGCGGCGCGCCAUGGCCACCACGUAGUAGCUGAUUCCAUCUGUAGGGAGAGGUGGAGAAAGACGAGAAAGAUCAGAUUGACCUUGAAAUAAGAUAAGAAGACAAGAACAUCAUGACGUUAUCGCACAGCCUCAAGAAACAUGUACAAUUUUGAUCGAGGGCUCAAACUUACCCGCUCCAUUGUAGGACUCCCCUGCAGACAGCUCCAGGCCAUGGCAGAAGCCAGCAGCAUAGAUGUCAUCUCCGGACAUGGUGCAUGCAUCUGCUGUCCCAUUCUGACAGGACAAAAAAACACAUUUGCUCUGACUUCAUUGAAAAUGCUUGUCUACAGUAUACUUGCACCACAUAUGGGAGAUGAGGCCUUCCUCAUUUAAACCAUGCUUUUGAAAAUAUUGCAAGUGAAAUGUUUUCCUAAAGGCCUUGUUAACAGAUAUGUCUGAGUUGUACAGAUGAUUAAAAUGUUGACAUAAAUGUAGGAAAAUAUGAAAGAUCAUGCAAAUAAAAAAAACUCAAGAGA